rnacentral:rRNA from 1 species
CGCUGGCGGCGUGCUUAACACAUGCAAGUCGAACGGGAUCCCAGGAAGCUUGCUCCUGGGGUGAGAGUGGCGAACGGGUGAGUAAUGCGUGACCGACCUGCCCCAUACACCGGAAUAGCUCCUGGAAACGGGUGGUAAUGCCGGAUGCUCCGACAUGACGCAUGUCGUGUCGGGAAAGAUUCAUCGGUAUGGGAUGGGGUCGCGUCCUAUCAGCUUGAUGGCGGGGUAACGGCCCACCAUGGCUUCGACGGGUAGCCGGCCUGAGAGGGCGACCGGCCACAUUGGGACUGAGAUACGGCCCAGACUCCUACGGGAGGCAGCAGUGGGGAAUAUUGCACAAUGGGCGCAAGCCUGAUGCAGCGACGCCGCGUGCGGGAUGACGGCCUUCGGGUUGUAAACCGCUUUUGACUGGGAGCAAGCCCUUCGGGGUGAGUGUACCUUUCGAAUAAGCACCGGCUAACUACGUGCCAGCAGCCGCGG